CGUGAAACUUCAAACGUUUAUUCACUUUUCCCUAACCUAUAUCGAUUAAUUAAUCUACCCACUUUCAUUUUAAUUUGCGUUUAUGAAAUUGGAGCUCUAUAGUUUGCGGAAGGAAAAAUGAAAUUAGAGUUCUACUUUUUCUUUCAAUAUAUAUUGUUCUAAUCUCACGUUGCGACUACAACUUAGACGAGAUGAAGUGGAAGAGGACCUUUUGCUUCUUCCGGAGAUUGAAACCCCUCUUUUACUUUUAAUCUAGGGAUUUCAAGAAGGUCAAUCAGAAUCAAUCAAUGGUGAACGUUCAGAUGGAAGACGUAGAGACCUUUGCAUUCCAGGCUGAGAUUAAUCAGCUUCUCAGUCUUAUUAUCAACACUUUCUACAGCAAUAAGGAGAUUUUCCUGAGAGAGCACAUUAGCAACUCCUCUGAUGUACGUCUUCUUUCUCAUUUUAUUACUGAUGUUCUGAUAUUUGUUUGUUUAUCUAUAAUCACACACAUACACUCGCACAUACAGUUAUAUAUAUGACUUUAAUGCUAAUUUACAUGCACUCAUAUAUUUAAUAUGUAAAUUGUUUGAUUUUAAAUUAGAGCUUUGUUUGUAUGUUAGAUGAUUGUGAAUUAUUUAUCAGAUGAACAAAUUGUGACUGAGAUUGGGGUUAUCUAAUUAGAAAUUUGUGCUUAAAAUUAAAAAUGAAGUUUGUAAAUGUGUGUAUAUAUGUAUUUACAUAUAUAAUGUGUAUGGUGGCUACUGUGCGCUGUGAAGAAAUUGCCAAUGAGAAGUUCUCUGGUUUUUCAGGAAAUGAGUAUUGGCUGGCACUCGAGGAGCCUGUACAACUUGAAGCCUGUUAUUGGAUUUGGGAAGAAGCUCAUUUCAAUUCUUGAUACCUGUCUGUCAGAGUAAGAUUUGUUUGAUUUUUUAUAUAAACAAAAAUUAAUCGCAAGUGUGAUUGGAGGAUGAUUUUUAUGCAUUUUAGAAAUUGAUUUCCUCCUUUCCUUUGUGGUCAUCCUCAGUUAGUAUGCAUUUUGCAGAUAUGUGCUUUAUCAUUAACAACCAUGUUCUGUAGAUUGACAAUUUCAUUUAUGGCUUUAACAGUCCCAUCUUUGUCUUGUUUAAUAAUUAAAUUAACUGUAAAAAUUUGCUUGCUGCUACUUGGCCCACUACUUACACUGUAGUUUAGGGUGUAAUGUUUGCAACAAUAUUUUACUUCAGAUUAAGAAUCAUUCAACAUAAUAUAUUAGCCACUGUCCAACGGUUAGGAUAAUUUCCUUCCAAGUAAUUAGUUAUAUUUUUUUUGUUUAAAUAUGAUUUGUUUGGUAAUCCACACUUGGCCAUCCUUCUUCUUCAGCAAAGCUCUUAUUUGAAGACUAAAGCUUGGUAUGUAUCCUUGUCUAUCUAUACCAACAUUUGAAAUUAUUAUUUUCUAUUUUAUUACUGUGUACUACAUUACUCUUUUCUAUUUUUUCUUAAUGCAAUCUCGUAUGUUUUUAUUUUGGAUAUGUUCUUUAGAUGUUUUUUGUGAUUGUGUAUCUAUCAUGUUAUGUAGUGUAUGCAAGUAUUUCAAAACAUCAUAACUUCAUUAUUCAUCCUCUCUCCUUUCCUUUGUUUUAUAUAUAUAUAUAUGUAUAUAUAUAUGGAGAAUGGUAUUAGCUGUAAUGACCGCUCUAGUAAUAUGGAUUAGAAAAGGCAAUUAGCACUAAUUUUUAUUAUUUUAUUAUUAUUUGUGAAUUAAAUUUAAAUGUGGACCCCAAUAUUUAGAAAUAAAUAUUAGAGUUAUAAUUUCUCAAUUUCGGAGAUUUUAUUAAACUCUAGGGGUAUUAUCUAGCUUAUAUGUGUAAUAUGUUAUUUUUGUAAUUUUUGUUCGGCGACAACGGAAAAUGCGAUGGAUGGCUAGAUUGAUCACAUGGGUAAGUUUAGAACCUUAUUUCAUAGUGGGAAAUAUUUUAGAGAAAAUAUUUUAUCGGGAUUGAGCGGGGUUAUGGAAUUGACCAUUUUACCCCUAGCUUUAGAAUUAACCAAGUUUUAACCUUAAGGGCUUUUUAGUCAUUUCUUAUUUGGUUAAAUGAGGGUUAGGUGGCAGCCUUGGGUGAUGACACCUAUUUCAUGUUAAUAUAAUUGGGUGAAAAGGGAUUUUAUUUAGAAAAAGAAAUUAAAAAUUAGAGAAAAUUAAGAAACCAUUUCUCUUUUCUCUCUCUUGGGGUUCGGCUCUCUCAAACCAGAAGGAAAACCCAAAUUCUUCUUCUUAACUUCUGUAUUUCUAUCCAAGGAUUCAAGGGAAAAUAACUAAGGUAACCCUAGCUCCUUUCUCUUUCAAGUUCAUGAAGUUGUAUGUUGGUUUUAGAGGUGAUUUUGGGUUAUAGGGGCUGUUAGGGUUUAAGGUUUGCUUAGUUCGAAUUUUAGGGUUUGUUUAGCUUAAUUCUAGUUCUUGGUAGCUGGUUUAGAGAUUGGUUGUUAGUUUUGAGCAAUUCUAAGCUUUGAGUUCAAGCUUUAAGCUUUAAUGGCAAGUUGAUAUUUAUUGUGUUUUUCUGUGAAAUACUGGCUGGGUUUUAUUGUGUAUGCCUUGAUUAGGAGCUCUGGAGAGUUUGGUAUCAUUUGGUGGAAAAUUGAGCAAUGGAGGAGGUGUUUUGGGAAUACUGGUGCAAACCGGCAAGCCGGUUUGCAAUGCCCCAAAAACCGGCUUGCCAGUUUUGGCAGGAUUCCCGAACACUUCGUUUUCUCAAUUUUUGUCCAUUUCAGUGCCUCGGUUGGGUGUUUCCCCAUUUCCAGAGUUAGAAUAACCCCUUUAGAGUAUAGCAGAACCUAGGGUUUUGGUUUUGGUUUCACCGGGAUUAGGGUUUUAAUCACGUGACUUACCCG